rnacentral:rRNA from 1 species
CGAUAAAGCGGGUGAAAGGCCCGCUCGCCGGAAGACCAAGGUUUCCUGUCCAACGUUAAUCGGGGCAGGGUGAGUCGGCCCCUAAGGCGAGGCUGAGAAGCGUAGUCGAUGGGAAAUGGGUUAAUAUUCCCAUACUUGGAUAAACUGCGAUGUGGGGACGGAGCAGGUUAGGUUAGCGUACGGAUGGAAGAGUACGUUUAAGUUGGUAGGUGGGUGAGUUAGGCAAAUCCGGCUCACCAUUAACACUGAGAGAUGAUGACGAGGCACCAAGGUGCUGAAGUAACUGAUACCCAACUUCCAGGAAAAGCCACUAAGCKWSAGGUUUAUCUAAACCGUACUGGAAACCGACACAGGUGGUCAGGUAGAGAAUACUAAGGCGCUUGAGAGAACUCGGGUGAAGGAACUAGGCAAAAUAGCACCGUAACUUCGGGAGAAGGUGCGCUGGCGUAGUGUGAAGUUCUUCGCGAAUGGAGCACGAACCAGUCGAAGCGACGAGCUGGCUGCAACUGUUUAAUAAAAACACAGCACUCUGCAAACACGAAAGUGGACGUAUAGGGUGUGAUGCCUGCCCGGUGCUGGAAGGUUAAUUGAUGGUGUUAUCGAAAGAGAAGCACCUGAUCGAAGCCCCAGUAAACGGCGGCCGUAACUAUAACGGUCCUAAGGUAGCGAAAUUCCUUGUCGGGUAAGUUCCGACCUGCACGAAUGGCAUAAUGAUGGCCAGGCUGUCUCC